rnacentral:tmRNA from 1 species
UCUCUUGAAAUUCAACCGAUAGACUCCUAACUAUGUAGUGCUUCGCAAGAAGACUAUGGUGCUAAACCUUUUGUGCAAUAGAUGUGCAGGACGCGGCUUCGAAGCCGCCGCCUCCACCACAAUUAGCCGUUACCGGGCUGCUUAUGAUGGGGGCGAAAUGGGAUCGACUGGCAUUGAAAGACAAAAGCUGUGCCCGGCAUGAUACCGCCGUUAUCGGGUCACAAGUGUAGUUGCAAACGACAACAACGCUAAGGAAUACGCUCUCGCUGCCUAAUGGCGGUGUGAGAAUUCCGACCUAAGUCCUCUAGGUUAGCCCCUUGAGGCGGGGUCCGAAGGCACCUGGCAACAGAAGCCUUCACC